GGGAACGUAGCUCAGCAGUAGAGUGCAUGCCUUGCAAGCAUGAGACCCUGGGUUCAAUUCCUCAGCACCA
rfam:Dipodomys ordii contig_73417, whole genome shotgun sequence.